rnacentral:rRNA from 1 species
AGUGAACGCUGGCGGUAGGCCUAACACAUGCAAGUCGAACGGCAGCACAGUGAGAGCUUGCUCUUACGGGUGGCGAGUGGCGGACGGGUGAGGAAUACAUCGGAAUCUACUUUUUCGUGGGGGAUAACGUAGGGAAACUUACGCUAAUACCGCAUACGACCUACGGGUGAAAGCAGGGGAUCUUCGGACCUUGCGCGAUUGAAUGAGACGAUGUCGGAUUAGCUAGUUGGCGGGGUAAAGGCACACCAAGGCGACGAUCCGUAGCUGGUCUGAGAGGAUGAUCCGCCACACUGGAACUGAGACACGGUCCAGACUCCUACGGGAGGCAGCAGUGGGGAAUCUUGGACAAUGGGCGCAAGCCUGAUCCAGCCAUACCGCGUGGGUGAAGAAGGCCUUCGGGUUGUAAAGCCCUUUUGUUGGGAAAGAAAAGCAGCAUGUUAAUCCCCCGCUGUUCUGACGGUACCCAAAGAAUAAGCACCGGCUAACUUCGUG